AGUGAACGCUGGCGGUAGGCCUAACACAUGCAAGUCGAACGGCAGCACAGUAAGAGCUUGCUCUUACGGGUGGCGAGUGGCGGACGGGUGAGGAAUACAUCGGAAUCUACUUUUUCGUGGGGGAUAACGUAGGGAAACUUACGCUAAUACCGCAUACGACCUACGGGUGAAAGCAGGGGAUCUUCGGACCUUGCGCGAUUGAAUGAGCCGAUGUCGGAUUAGCUAGUUGGCGGGGUAAAGGCCCACCAAGGCGACGAUCCGUAGCUGGUCUGAGAGGAUGAUCAGCCACACUGGAACUGAGACACGGUCCAGACUCCUACGGGAGGGAACAGUGGGGAAUAUUGGACAAUGGGCGCAAGCCUGAUCCAGCCAUACCGCGUGGGUGAAGAAGGCCUUCGGGUUGUAAAGCCCUUUUGUUGGGAAAGAAGAGCAGCAGGUUAAUACCCCGCUGUUCUGACGGUACCCAAAGAAUAAGCACCGGCUAACUUCGUG
rnacentral:rRNA from 1 species